GGCAAAUGUAAUUUGGAAAUGGCGAGCUCAUCAUCGUCAGCAGCAGAGAAUGCAAGAGAUGAAUCAGGUUCAGAGUCGAUAAGAUUAUCAUCCAAGGAGUCUUUAGAAAAGCCAUCGAGACUACUAAAAGCCUCUUCGCUGAGGAUGGAAUUGGGAGUGGCAAUUGCAGAAGAGCUGAAUCCGGACAAAUUGCGACGGUUAGUACCACUGAAACAAGCUUGAGCUUUCAGAGCAAUUAGGUGGGACUUAUCAG
rnacentral:misc_RNA from 1 species